rnacentral:lncRNA from 1 species
CUUGCUGCUACCAUGGAAGAAGCGACUUUCGCCUCCCGCCGUGAUUCUGAGGCCUUUCCAGCCAUGUCAAACUCAAAAUGUGACUGAAAAACAGAAGCAUUUGGAAUACGUAACAGAAGUCAUUAAAAAGAGGUAUGAUGAAUAUGAUGAACUUAGAAUGAUACUGAUCUUCACAAUGAAGCAUAAAGUUAAAAGCAGAUAA